rnacentral:rRNA from 1 species
AUAUUGGACAAUGGGGGCAACCCUGAUCCAGCCAUGCCGCGUGUGUGAAGAAGUUCUUCGGAUUGUAAAGCACUUUAAGUUGGGAGGAAGGGCUUUAGGCGAAUACCCUGAAGUUUUGACUUUACCAACAUAAUAAGCACCGGCUAACUCUGUUCCAGCAGCCGCGGUAAUACAGAGUGUGCAAGCGUUAUGAGGAAUUACUGGGCGUAAAGCGCGCGUAGGUGGUUCAGUAAGAUGGGUGUGAAAUCCCCGGGCUUAACCUGGGAACUGCUUUCAUAACUGCUGAGCUAGAGUACGGUAGAGGGUAGUGGAAUUUCCUGUGUAGCGGUGAAAUGCGUAGAUAUAGGAAGGAACACCAGUGGCGAAGGCGACUACCUGGACUGAUACUGACACUGAGGUGCGAAAGCGUGGGGAGCAAAC